ACACAUGAGUAUCUCACACAUUAAUACACACCUGAGUAUAUUAGAAGCAAAGCAAAAGAAAAUAGAGAAAGAUAAAUGUAAAUAAUAAAACAACACACAAAGAGAGAAACGCACGGGAAAGAUAAAAUCGCAUGGAGAAAGAGAAAAAACACAGGGAGAAGGGCUGACCGUCGACGAUUGCGGCGAUGGGGAGACAUUACAAGUGGGCGCGAACAUAAGCACCAGGAGGGGUACCUUGAAUAUGUGAUGGCAGAAGAUGUGCUUGACUCAACUAGAUCUAUGGUGGCCGACGAUCUUGCAAGAGGUGCGCGGUGAUUCGACGUCGACAACAAUCUCUUUCUAUUUUGAUUCUUCUUUUUUUAUUUGUUAUGUUGUUUGUGUUGUUUUCUUUCUAAAACUUUUUACAGGUUAAAUUGGUGCGGGCUAAAGGUGAUAUUUGGAUAUAAACCAUGUGAGAAAGGAGAGUGUAUGGGAAGAGCUUUUAGUGGAGAAUUGGGAUAAGGGACAUAAUAUUAACAUUGAAGUUGGGUAGGAGAAAAUUCAAAGUGAAGAAUUACAAGUCACAUCCAUACUCCAAAUUCAUCAGAAUGACUUCAUCAAUCAAACCUCAUCUUGCAAGACAGAAGAUGAGCAAAAAAAAGGGGGAGCACAAACGUUUAUUUGCUCUGGCUCAAUGUCAAUUCAAUUCAAAGUGAAAGCUCGCUAAACAUAAAAAAGGGGAGACUGAAGUUGCAUGUCUCUAAUAUAUUUAGGGGGAGAACCCCCGUACGAUUUUGUUGCUAGUCUUUUACGC